GUAUUAGUUAUGUUCUUGAAACCCAAAGGAUUUGGCGGUACUUUAUUCUGUUCAGAGGAACCUGUCCCUUAAUUGAUAUUCCACGAUUUUUAUUUACUUUCUUUUGUUUAACAGCUUGUAUACCUCCGUCAUCAGAAUAUCUUUUUAGGGUUAAUUUUCUUAUCAUUCUUUUAAUAUUAUGUCAGGUCAAGGUGCAGUUUAUAGGGAAGUGCUGAGAUGGGUUACAAUAUUUAUUUAUUUAUACGGAUUUAAUAAUUUGAUUUUUUUAAUGAAGGUGGAUUUGAUAGUAAAUUUUUAUUUUUUAUGAAGUUGAUUUUGUUUCUAAAGUAUGUACAC
rnacentral:rRNA from 1 species